UUUUCUUUGGCUUCUCUUUUUUCCCCAAUUUUUUACUUAUUUUUGUUUUAUUUAUAAUUGCUACCAUCUUUUAGGUGGAAGAAGUCACGAAGCGGAGAGAGAGCCCCGAAUUUUUAGAAUAGCAGAUU
rnacentral:ribozyme from 1 species